CCUACGGGGGGCUGCAGUAGGGAAUAUUGCUCAAUGGGGGAAACCCUGAAGCAGCAACGCCGCGUGGAGGAUGAAGGUUUUCGGAUUGUAAACUCCUUUUGUUAGAGAAGAUAAUGACGGUAUCUAACGAAUAAGCACCGGCUAACUCCGUGCCAGCAGCCGCGGUAAUACGGAGGGUGCAAGAGUUACUCGGAAUCACUGGGCGUAAAGGGCUCGUAGGCGGGAUAGCAAGUCAGAUGUGAAAUCCUAUGGCUUAACCAUAGAACUGCAUUUGAAACUGUGAUUCUAGAGUAUGGGAGAGGUAGGUGGAAUUCUUGGUGUAGGGGUAAAAUCCGUAGAGAUCAAGAGGAAUACUCAUGGCGAAGGCGACCUGCUAGAACAUAACUGACGCUGAUGCGCGAAAGCGUGGGGAGCAAACAGGAUUAGAUACCCUAGUAGUC
rnacentral:rRNA from 1 species